UAUUUGUUCUACACAACAGAAAUGUUGCAUUUCUUGAAAAGUCAUGAGAACAUCCACUUCAGUAUGUUAUAGAUCCAUGCUUUUGAGAUUACAGCACUAAUGUCCUUUAUGCACUUAAAAGUUUAUCGUGCGCUUGGCCUUUUCUAGGCAAAUCUAGAAAUAUUUUCAGUAGUUAGAGCCAGUUGUUUGCUAUGAUGCUGCAUACAAUUUUGCCAAUCUCUAAUUGCGAUUACAACGGAGUUUAGAUCUCAUCCUAAUCCCUCUUGUCUGGUGUAUUGAUUGUGUUUAAACUUUGAACUUUGAAUCAGUUCAUAUUCACAUCUUGUUACAUUUGGUCAUAUUUUAAUGGGUUUCAUAUUCGAUUCUAGAAUUAUUUCUUUUUAUUUUUAAAUACUUAACUAAUGGAAUACUUGAGGGACACUCCAAAUAUCAUGCAUGGAUUCAUUAACGGGCUCCUUUCUGUUUAGUUUAUGUCUACCUAUAGGAAUCCAUCUCUGACUGGGGAAGGUUGGAAAUGUUUCUCAAGGGAUUUUUAUUACUGAGGAGACUAUGAAAAACAGAACUCUUUUCUACUGUGCUGAUUGCAUUUUCAAUUUGAACUUUAAAAAGGGUCAGUUCAUGUGCAUGUCUUGUUAUGUUUGUUCUUAUUUUCAUGGGUUUUCAUACUCAAUAGUGGAAUUAUCUUUUUUAUUACAUUUAACCAAUAGGAUUCCCAAAGGACCCUCCAAUAACAUACAUGGACUCAUUAAAAAUUAGUUUGUCUGCAUGUAGGAAUGCAUCUCCAAGUGGGGAAGUUUUGAAAUGUUUCUGAAAAGAUUUUAUCAUCAAGGAGGUUAGAACAAGCAAUUUUUUUGUUGUCUCCUUAUAAGUGGUUUGCUGAUUGAGUCAUGAAUGGUGAAUGGGUUUUAUAAAAUCAGUUUAGUACUUUAGCCUGACUUGGCUAAUGAACAUUCUUGCGUUAAAAAAGAGAGAAGAGAAUUCACCAAGUCUUCAGUCUUUAUCGGUGUCUCCUUUGGGUUCUGGUUUAAGAUGGGGUAUUUGAUGGAGGUUCGUUCAUUGUUAUUGCUGAAAUAUUUGGCUUGGAAAGAGGCCCUGGGCUUGAAUUUUCCAUUUUUCAUUCUAGAUGGGUACUGGGAAUGGUAGGAUUAUGAUGUUUAAAAUAUCAUGUCUUAUUGGGCAGUGAGAUUCCUGGUUUGAUAAGUACCAUUUAAUUAAUGGACAUGCAGAGAACAAAUAUCAAAAUAUUAUUUUGGCCAACACUCCCAUUUCUUUUCUGUUUAUUAUAUUAUAGGUCGCUCUAAAACUGGUAUAACAGUCAAUAAUACUCUUGACUCUACUCUGCCUGACUACUACAAUUGAUUUGGUGGUUCUUUUUUAGACUAGUGGGUGGUAUUUUAGCAUUGGGCAUUUUCUGGAUUUUAUUAAUUGUCUAAAGGCCAGGGCUGGUAUUUGGUGAAUAAAUGUCCUCUAUGCUGUUGCUGUGAAGAAUCUGUUGAUCAUACUCCCCUUCAUUGCUCAUUCUCGAUGGAGGUCUGGUCUCACAUGUUGGCAAAAUUGGAAAUUCCUGGGUGUUCCCAGCUUGCUCUGGAUGCGAUUGCUUGUUGGUCAGCACUGGCGUGGGGCCCGCUCGGUGUAGAUCACCCGGGUCAAGGGUGGCCUACACCACCAUGUGAUCGGUGUCGAUUGAAAGAAAUAUCAAACUUUUAGGGGUAAAAUGUCUGUGCUGUCGCGAGUGUUGUCAACAAAAUUCUUAUUUUGGUGUGGGGUUGGGCUAAGGGCAGACUUUGGGGUAUUCCUAUGGCACUGCAGAAUACGUUGUUGGCUGGUAUUCACGAUGGUGGCAUCAAGCGAAAGAAAGUUGUGAGCAGCUGGAAAUGUCGCCCUGCUGGAUGGUGCAAAGUCAAUUUUGAUGGGUGUUUGUUUCGUAACCUGGGCCCUGCUGCAACUGUGAGGCAUAAUUAGGGAUCUAAGGGGGUUUCCUGUUUAAAUUCUCAUUGGAAUUCAUGAUUCCAAUAUCACGGAAGCCUUAGCUUUGCUUAUGGUUCUUAAGUUGGUUGUGGAGCUGAAUAUUUGCUCGCUAUUGCAGAAGAUGACUCUUAAGGAUGCGAUCUCUUGUUUGACGGAUGGUUGGUAUCCUUGGAGAUUUGCAGAUAUGAUUGUGCAGGUAUUGGGUCUGCAAGUGAGAAAUCAUCUGGAAUUCUUGUAUGUCCCUAUGGAAGCAAAUGGGGAGGCAGACUGUUUAGAUAAAGAAGGGUAAUGCAGGAAGACCUCAGGGGUCUGCUGUGGCUUUUCUGGGUCCCAGUUGUGUUGUUUGGAAGUCUGUUAUAUCUGCUUUUUGGAUUGUGUUUGGGCCGAAUGGCUCCUGUUAUUGGAGUAUUGCUGCCCUGUUGUAUCCUGCUCUGUUUUGAUUUUCGAUAAAGGUGUUAUCCUAUAAUUUAAAAAAAAAAAAAGUUUACCAAGAGUUGCAACAUGUUGAACCAUUUGGGCUGUGGUGAUGAGCUAGUUGUUUGUGGUAAGAGAUGCCUGUUGAUCCUUCCCUAUUCUGUUUGUGAGGCAGACCGUCAUGUUUCAAACAAUGGUGUGGAGGUUUGAUCUCCCUUGGAGCAGCAUCUUCUUAAAGAUUUGGUUGCUAGGGAUUAGGAACCUUAAUUCUUAUGGAGAAAAUCUUUUUAGGAGGGGCCUUUCACAAAAGAAAAAAGACAAAAAUAAAAAUAAAAAUUCAGGAGUUUUGGACCAACCUUAUGCUAGUUUCCUAAUAUUUUCUGCUUGCCACGAAGAUUGUAGAUGAUUGUCCCAAGUGAGCAGAUGAACUUAUUCCGGUCUUUCACUUUGCUUGCAACAAUUUGGGCCAUUUGACCUGAAGAAAUAUGAGGUGCUUUCACAUGCCAAAUUAGACUGAUUUGUUGAUUUGUGAUUCCAGUGGUGGGGAUAUCCAAUUGGCAUUUUAGAGGGUCAUAGUUGUAUGGAUCACAUGGAAUUUUGUCUGUAUUGAAGCCUUGAAGCACAUUUUUUUGGGCGAUCUGGAUAUCGAGGGUGAUUGAUGGCAUCCGAUAUUGUUUUAGUUUCAAAUAUCCAUAGGGAAGCAAAUCAUGUGAUGCAUUGAUUGAAAUUUGAGGACCUGUAAAUUGUCUUGCUAGAUCAAUAGAAAUUUAAGGACAAACCAAGUUAAUUGAAGGGUUCUUAAAUCAAGAUGAUGACAAAAGAGUUUACUGACUGCUUGUCUAACUCGUAUUAUCUUGCGUCCUUCAAAAAAAAAAAAAAAAACAUGUAUUAUCUUGCAUUGGUCUUAUUCUUUGGGCUUAAAGCCUUUGAACCCUAUGGCGGAGUUCUUUUGUUAUUGUUGUAGCUUUCUUAGAUUUGGGGGCUGCACCAUUUGUAGCCUUCUUAUCUUAAUUUAAUAAAAAUUCUUAAGUUUCAUAAAAUAAUUCAGUCCAUAUUUAGUUGAAGAAAUACGAGUUCUAUUGUAUGCUUUUCUCCUUGGGUGUAAAGAGUUGGUCCUUGACUCUUAACUUAUUGAGUGAUCAAGUCCAUGUUUGCUUGAGACACAUUUGAAUUGCUUUUAUUGUUUUACUGCAAUGAAAAACUAUUUCAACACCACAAACAGAAACUUCAAUUGCAAGUUUACAGUUGCAAAUCUUCAUUUUAAAUGUUAAGUCGAUCUGUUUAAAAGUUCCUAAGUCUAGUAGCACCAAUUAAUUAGCAUUAGGUUGUGUACUCUUACACAAUCCAAAAUUCAUAGUUCAGACUCAAGUAAAAAGGGGAAAAUCACAGUUCUUGCUUUACACUUCAAGCUUUCAAUUUCAAGUUGCAAAAUUAUUAUAGAAAUAGUUAUGUGGUUCAAAAGACUGCAAAGGAUGAAAGGCAAAGUGAGAAACUAUGCCAGCUAAGUAGAAAAUACAUCAUAGAAGCUAUAGACAAUGUUAUUAUGGAAAUAAAAUUGAAAGUCACAUGUAAGAGUGAAAGAUCAAUACCCUUCAAGUUUAAUUUAUUUCGUUGUGACGUUUCUCUUAUUAUUAUUAUUGUUAUUAUUAUUAGAAUUAAGGGGAAGAUUUAUUAAAAGAAAUAAAAAGGAAAAUAAAAAGGCGCCGAGAUUUCGCCCCAAUUACAUCCCUUGAAAAUCAAAAUUACAACCCGUAAGCUUAGAAUCACAAGAGGCCCAUUCAAUAACGAGCAGCCUAGCCCUUUGGGAAACCCCCUCCACCACGUUGCUUUCAUCCUUGAAACAUCUCUCAUUUCUUCCCAAACAGCCCACCACACAACUAGCAAGGCCAUUCUCCACGUUGCCUUAUCUUUCCUUAGAUUCACCCCAAUGCCAAGCUAACAAAAGAUUGCUGACCAAAGCUAGGAAAGACCUAACAACUUGAAAACAAGUUAGGAUAUUGGCCAAAUCGUCCCCACUAAGGUGCAAUGCAUGAAUAAAUGAUUAGCUUUACACAUGAUACAGAUAAUGGGGAAAACCAUAGAUCGUUUCUAGAGAUUAUCCAUAACGUAAUUUUCUCUUAGUAAAAUUUAUAUUAUCCAUAACAAAAUGAAGAUCUGACUCCUUAGUUGGCAUAAUUGCUUAGUCUGCAGUCUGGCAUAACCACAUCUCGCCAUCACUGUGCUUGCGGUAUUUGGUUUUCGGCCACGACUACAAAUAUCAUGAUUGCCUUCAAGAGUGAUAUUCUCCUUUAUUUUUGUCAAUUUCACUUAGGUGCCAUUUGAUAAACUGAAAAAUAAACCCUGAAAAUUAGUGCUGAAUUGUAAUUUUGAAAAGAAAUUUUAAUGCACCAUCACUUUCAGCAUUCAGCUUUCAGCAUCAAGUGAAGGGAAGGGAGCUGGAAAAAAGAUCCAUAUUUUCUGUGAAAAUUAAUUCAAGCACUUAAUAAUAUGGAUUUGCCAAACGAAUCAUGUAAGUGCUGAAAAUAAGUGAUAAGUGCUGAAAAUUAAUUUUAUCAAGUGCCUAACUUUUCAUUUGAAAUUUUGUUUCUUGUCUUUUGACAUUUUACUGAAUUCCAGAACAUUCUCUAACAAGUUUUAGUAGCUUCACAUUUUUCACUAUUUUCCAGAAUAUCAUCCAGUAUCCAUAAAGAAAAUGGCCACAACUAUUAUUUGGUAGUAGUUUUUACAAUAUGAAAAAAUUACUUAUUGUUUUCAUGUUCACAUGACCUUUAUUCAUGAUGCCAUGUGUUUCUCAUUUCUGGGCAUUUUGAUUCCCCCAUUCUCUAAUCAUCCCCAUUUAGAUAAGGCAGUGAAAGAAAUGGUGAUAGAUUCCUCAAAUCUGCAUAUUUGUUUCUUCCCCUAGGAGGUUGGGUCUUGUGCAAUUGUGUUGGUUGACACUGCUACCGAUGAUUUUUCCCCCUUCCAUACCUAAAACAACUGAAUUGAGAUGGGUUCAAGCCUGUAGGUCAGUGGUAGACAGCCUGGAUUUCAAUAUUGAGGUCUCGGGUUUGAGCCCAACUCACCUAUUAAGAAAAAAGAGUAAUGAAAUAGAGAAAAACAACAAAUGAAUGAAAAUGACCUAAUCUUGGGUUUCACAAGAGAAAUAGUAGAGAGAAUGUUUAACGGUGUGUUGCCCUUGGGGCCGUCUAACCCCAUUUUAUCAUUGUCUUUUCACAUGAGUUCACUGAAAAGGGCCUUUUGUCCUAAAGAAGCGGGGGUUGCUUCAGAAUAAGGAGAUUUUGAGCGAAGGCAUGAGGCUCUUCUUGGGAAAUGGUAGUGGGGCGUUGUUUUGAAGAAUUGGAUGCUGAGUUAUGGAGAGCCACAUCAUGUGCAAGCUUCUUAUUUAUUGGGGAUCAGGUAUAGGGUGGAGAUAGGUGGUAGGUUGAUUUUUCUUGGAAUAAGCGAAGUGGGGUGAAGACCUGUACAUGAGGUUUUUAGUGCAUUUUGUAGAGUGGCGUCCAAUAAAAACCAAAUGCAGCUGACUAUUUUGAUGGAACAAUCCCAUUUUGGGCUCAACUUCUAAAGGAUGUUGAAAUUCCAUUCUGUUGGAGUUGCUUUUGGUUGUAGAGAAGUAUUUUGAUACCUUGGUAGGAGUAGGAUCAAAGAGUUUGGAUGCAGGAAACCAUGGGUAGAUCUUGAGUUUGUUCAUUUUAAGAUGUUUUGUUUGGAAGUUUCCUAGACAACUCUAUUGUUGUGCUUCUACUGGGAAGUUUGUUGUCGUUGUCGUCAUCAUCGUUGUCAUCUAAUCCUUAUCCCAAUUAAUUGGGGCUGGCUAUGUAAUCCUGUUCCACCAUUUCACUAUCAAGGGCCAUAACUUCAGUUAGAUAAUAGGUCAUCAAGUAUUUUCUUAACUACCUCCACCCAUGUCCUUUUGGGCCUUCCCCUUGCCCUUUUAGAGCUUUCAACUUGCACCAACUUACUCCUAACCAGCGCGAUUCUUGGUCUCAGUCGCACAUGACCAAACCAUCUAAGUCUACUUUCUCUCAUCUUAUAACCUAUUAGUGGUAAUCACAAGUUCCCUUGAAUGCACUCAUUUCUAAUUCUAUCAUUACUUGUCCUGCCACUCAUACAUCUCAACAUCCUCAUUUCUCACGCAUGGUCAUCCGAUGAACAUGUUGUUCCUUAUUUGCCCAACACUUUGUCCCGUAAAGUGGCUGCGCUUAUAGUUAUCCUAUAAAGUUUCCCUUUCAAUUUGAGUUGUACACGAGGAUCACAUUAAGCUCCAGAGGCUCUCUCCAUUUCUUCCACCCACCUUGAAGUCUAUGGGCAACAUUUUCUCAUUCUCUCCACUCUCAUGAAUUAUCAAACAAAGAUGUCAGUAGUGGUCAUUUUGGGAAACUUCAUGGUCAGCUAUCUUAACAAAUUCCUUGUUUCCAUUCCUGUUGUUACUGAAAUUGCACUCCGAAUACUCUAUUUUAGUCCUAUUAAUUUUAAAUCCUUUAGAUUCUAAAGCACCCUCCCAUAAGUCUAUCUGUGCUUACUCCCUCUCUUGUCUUGUCAAUCAAAACUAUGUCAUAUGCAAACAACAUACACUAUGAGAUCUCUUCGUACAAAUGCCUUGCUGUUUGUAACUAAUGCAAGAAGGUAAUCAUCAAUGCCAACCCUUGGUGCAAGCCUACAAUAACUGAGAACUCACUUCUUUCUCCAUUGGUGGUCUUUCCAACAGCCACCAAAUUAACUCUUUACUCUUCAGGGACCCUAUAGCCAUCUUUAAGUCAAUAAAGGCCAUAUGGAAAUCCUCAUACUGUAUUUUUCCAUCAUUUGUUUAACUAGGACAAUAACUUCAAUGUAGACCUCCCUAGCGUGAAACCGAACUGAUUUUCUGAUAUAUUCAUCUCAUGCUUUAGUCUUUUGCUCAAUCACUAUCUCCCAAAGCUUCAUUGUGUCACAAGUUUAAACCCAUGAUAGUUAGUGCAGCUCUAUAUGCCUCCUUUAUUCUUAUAAAAAGGUAUCACGGUACUUUUCAUCUAUUCGUCUGACAUUUCCUUCAAUCUUACGAUAUUUUUGAACAACUUUGUCCCAAAGCUUCUUCUACUUCAGAUAUCCUAAUCCUAUGAAAGUAUCAAUAGUAAUGCAGGGAUCUUGAAUAAAAUUGGAAAUAGAGCAGAAGAUUCAAAGGGGCAGCCUUAAUGAGAGUGAUUCCCAGCAAAGGAUAGAUAUUUCCCUUUCCAUCUAUCAAGCUUCUUCUCAAUCCUCCACAAUGGGUCCUAAAACACAAAUGACCUCUGGUUUCCACCAAGGGGAAGGCCCAAGGGCACAGAAGGCAUACCGCUUUGCAACCAAUCCUCAUGGUCAGCGAGUCCACCACAUCCCUACUAAUAGCCACCCCUACCAUGGCCAUGCACGUUGUGUGGUGGACCUGAAAGCUUGACAUGCUUCGAAACAUCCAAGUAUCCUUUCAUGUUGUUCCCUUUGUCUGUAAAAAACAAAUGGUAUCAUCUGCAAAUUGAAAUGUGAAAUGAUCUCAGAGUUCCUGACUUGAAAACCCCUCACAGUGCAGCAAGCCAAAGCCUUCUCCAUUAGGAGACUCUACCCUUCUGCCAUAUCUGGAAACAAGACAGGAGAUAAGAGGAUCACUCUGACAGAUCCCUCUUGAACUAAUGAAGAAUUCAGCAGUCAAGCCAUUCAUGAGCACUAGGAAUGAAAUUGUAGAUGCACUUCUUGACCCACCCUAUCCACCUUUCCUCAAAACGCAUUCUGGCCAGAGAAUAAGUGAGAAAAUCCCAGUCAACAUGAUCAUUUCUUCACGUCAGUUUUGCAGAUAGUGCCAGCAUCCCCUGCGCUGGAUCUGGAAUCAAAGAGCUUAUUAGCCACGAACACUGGAGUGUCCUUGUCACAUGGGAAUAAGUCCCCUAUCAGUUUAUACAUAGGAAAACAAAAGUAAAAAGGCGUGUGUUCAUUUAUGCAUGUUUUUAUACUCAUAAGUUGAAUACAAUGAUAGUGGCUAAUCUGAUUGCCAAGCAGCCAAGCAAAUUUACUUGAGACACCAUGUAUAUCUUACCCACUGUUCCUGUUCCAUCUAAUUCAUCAUAUAAGCAUGCAUU